CCACGCUUUCACUUCUGAUUUGUGUGAAAAUCUUAAUGAUACUGAAGACAUACAUGGCAUUUUUCUUUUGUUCUCCGUUGUCCUGUCCAUUCCUGGUAUAUUUCAUUUUAUAUUUUCAUGCAGAUUUGACAUAUAAGUGUGUGUAAUAUGUGUUAUAGAAGUGUUGAGUUUUAUUUAAUGGACACAUCCAACACGUCUAUAACACAUAUUACACACACUUAUAU
rnacentral:misc_RNA from 1 species